UACGGAGGAUCCAAGCGUUAUCCGGAUUCAUUGGGUUUAAAGGGUGCGUAGGCGGAACGUUAAGUCAGUGGUGAAAUCCUGCAGCUCAACUGUAGACUUGCCAUUGAUACUGGCGUUCUUGAGUGCGCUUGAAGUAGGCGGAAUGUGUCGUGUAGCGGUGAAAUGCUUAGAUAUGACACAGAACACCGAUUGCGAAGGCAGCUUACUAAGGCGAUACUGACGCUGAGGCACGAAAGCGUGGGGAUCAAACAGG
rnacentral:rRNA from 1 species